rnacentral:rRNA from 1 species
ACGGAGGAUCCGAGCGUUAUCCGGAUUUACUGGGUUUAAAGGGUGCGUAGGCGGAGCAUUAAGCCAGGGGUGAAAAAUUUCGGCUUAACCGGAGUCAUGCCUUUGAUACUGGUGGACUUGAGUACAGUUGACGCGGGUGGAAUGUGAUGUGUAGCGGUGAAAUGCUUAGAUAUGUCGCAGAACGCCGGUCGCGAAGGCAGGUCACGAAAUUAGUACUGACGCUGAUGCACGAAAGCGUGGGGAUCUAACAG